UCAGGACGAACGCUGGCGGCGUGCCUAAUACAUGCAAGUCGAACGAACGGAGGAAGAGCUUGCUCUUCCAAAGUUAGUGGCGGACGGGUGAGUAACACGUGGGCAACCUGCCUGUAAGUUGGGGAUAACUCCGGGAAACCGGGGCUAAUACCGAAUGAUAGAGUGUGGCGCAUGCCACGCUCUUGAAAGAUGGUUUCGGCUAUCGCUUACAGAUGGGCCCGCGGUGCAUUAGCUAGUUGGUAGGGUAAUGGCCUACCAAGGCAACGAUGCAUAGCCGACCUGAGAGGGUGAUCGGCCACACUGGGACUGAGACACGGCCCAGACUCCUACGGGAGGCAGCAGUAGGGAAUCUUCCGCAAUGGACGAAAGUCUGACGGAGCAACGCCGCGUGUAUGAAGAAGGUUUUCGGAUCGUAAAGUACUGUUGUUAGAGAAGAACAAGGAUAAGAGUAACUGCUUGUCCCUUGACGGUAUCUAACCAGAAAGCCACGGCUAACUACGU
rnacentral:rRNA from 1 species